rnacentral:rRNA from 1 species
UACGGGGGGGGCAAGCGUUGUCCGGAAUCACUGGGCGUAAAGGGCGCGUAGGCGGCGAGGAUAGUCAACGGUGAAAGCUUGGGGCUCAACCCCCGAGUCGGCCGUCGAUACUUCCUUGCUUGAGCACUGUAGAGGCAGAUGGAAUUCCUGGUGUAGCGGUGAAAUGCGCAGAUAUCAGGAGGAACACCGGUGGCGAAGGCGGGUCUCUGGGCCGAUACUGACGCUGAGGAGCGAAAGCGUGGGGAGCGAACAGG